CACGAGUUGCCCCCCGCACGAGAUUUCUGUGUUUAUAUAAGACACGGGGCGACUAGUACAAGUUUUCCCGUUAUCAUUUCGCUAUCACGGACGGCGCGUUUAUGCACGGAAAAAAGAAAAGGAAGGAACUAAAUUAAACCAGGCAGCACUAUGUCCAGGGCUCCUUUACCCGUGACGGACUUGCACGUGUCCUUGCGUUCUUUUCCCUUCCUUGACCACCAAUCAUAGAUUUGCAUAACACGUUCCUUUUCGACAAAUUUGGAUAAAAUAAAAACGAAAAAUGCAAAUAACAUGGCUUACGUGACUAAACCGAAUAGAUUAAAUCCAUCUAGAAACAACAAGAGAACAUCGUAUGUCUACUGAAAGAGGGGACAAAAAGAUCCCUGGAUUUCCCAGUGAGAGUUGAACUGCUCGUAUGCCCUGAAAAGAAAACCAUAUCGAGACACAAAGUUUCUGCAACGUAGUCCAGGACGACCUAAAUUCAUUGAAUCCCCAGUCAUUCACGACGUUUUUAGAGACAAAUAUCACUGCCUCGCCUCUUGUCUCUUUUGGACGAGGAAAGUGAAACUUGAAAUGCGUGUUGAUGACGAACAGAAGACGGAGAGAAAAGUCCCGGCUUUACCGGACUCGGGCGAUGCUUCCAUAUGUAGUUGCGAACUAAAUGCUAUCGAGUAACCUUGAAAGUAUUUUGGCAGUCAACCACCAAACCCCAAGAAACGUGGCGCCUGUGUAAGUUUACACUUAGUUUUAAUGUCAACCUGAUUCGUUACGUCAUCGUAAAAAUGGGAAUAUUUGGUUUGAGUCUUACACAGACGCGGAUUUCAUUUUUAUCUACGAAAAACGAUAGCAGAAACUCGAGAUUAUUUCAAACUUGUGGGAGACACAAAGAAAGCAGGUUCACAACAUGUCUUCAAGUGCGGUGCAAGAAGCCUCGUCUAGUCGUCUGGUACAAAAAGUAAUAUCUGCAUUCCAUGGACAAUAAGGGUGAAGAGUCUAACAAGAUUGCGAAAUGUUGGUGACCUUCAUGAUGUAAUCUCCACGCCUUGUUGUGAUUCUGUUUCGGUUAUCACGUUUUUUGUUGUUUUCUUACAAAGUAAUCUCAGAAUACCUCAACGUAUAACUAAAAGAUGGCGUUGUUUUGGCGCCAAAUAAAACAAUUGUAAAUUAA